GUCCACGCCGUAAACGAUGGAUACUAGCUGUUCGGUUUUCGGACUGAGUGGCUAAGCGAAAGUGAUAAGUAUCCCACCUGGGGAGUACGGGCGCAAGCCUGAAACUCAAAGGAAUUGACGGGGGCCCGCACAAGCGGUGGAGCAUGUGGUUUAAUUCGAUGAUACGCGAGGAACCUUACCAGGGCUUAAAUGUAUUUUGACCGCUUAGGAAACUAGGCUUUCGCAAGACAAAAUACAAGGUGCUGCAUGGUUGUCGU
rnacentral:rRNA from 1 species